rnacentral:rRNA from 1 species
GAAACUGGGGCCAAUCCCCCAUAGGGGAAGGGCGCUGGAAGGCCCCCUCCCCGAAAGGGACGGCGGCCGAUCCGCCGCCGCCCGCCCGAGGAUGGGGGCACGGCCCAUCAGGUAGUUGGCGGGCUAAAGGCCCGCCAAGCCGAAGACGGGUAGGGGCGGUGAGAGCCGCGAGCCCCGAGAUCGGCACUGAGACAAGGGCCGAGGCCCUACGGGGUGCAGCAGGCGCGAAUACUCCGCAAUGCGGGCAACCGCGACGGGGCUACCCCGAGUGCCGGGCGAAGAGCCCGGCUUUUGCCCGGUCUAAAAAGCCGGGAGAAUAAGCGGGGGGCAAGUCUGGUGUCAGCCGCCGCGGUAAUACCAGCUCCGCGAGUGGUCGGGGUGUUUACUGGGCUUAAAGCGCCCGUAGCCGGCCCGGCAAGUCGCUCCUGAAAUCCCAGGGCUCAACCCUGGGGCGGGGGGCGAUACUGCCGGGCUAGGGGGCGGAAGAGGCCGCCGGUACUCCGGGGGUAGGGGCGAAAUCCGUUAAUCCCCGGAGGACCACCAGUGGCGAAAGCGGGCGGC